rnacentral:rRNA from 1 species
UACGACGUAUCAGAGUUUGAUCCUGGCUCAGGAUGAACGCUAGCGGCAGGCUUAACACAUGCAAGUCGAGGGGCAGCAUAAAACAUUGCUUGCAAUGUUUGGUGGCGACCGGCGCACGGGUGCGUAACGCGUAUGCAACCUACCUAUAACAGGGGGAUAACACUGAGAAAUUGGUACUAAUACCCCGUAAUAUUAUUAAAGGCAUCUUUGAUAGUUGAAAGUUCCGGCGGUUAUAGAUGGGCAUGCGUUGUAUUAGCUAGUUGGUGAGGUAACGGCUCACCAAGGCGACGAUACAUAGGGGGACUGAGAGGUUAACCCCCCACAUUGGUACUGAGACACGGACCAA